AACGCUGGCGGCGUGCUUAACACAUGCAAGUCGAACGGAAAGGCCCCCUUGUGGGGUACUCGAGUGGCGAACGGGUGAGUAACACGUGAGUAACCUACCCUUGACUUUGGGAUAACUUCAGGAAACUGGGGCUAAUACCGGAUAGGAGCUCCUGCUGCAUGGUGGGGGUUGGAAAGUUUCGGCGGUUGGGGAUGGACUCGCGGCUUAUCAGCUUGUUGGUGGGGUAGUGGCUCACCAAGGCUUUGACGGGUAGCCGGCCUGAGAGGGUGACCGGUCACAUUGGGACUGAGAUACGGCCCAGACUCCUACGGGAGGCGGCAGUGGGGAAUAUUGCACAAUGGGCGGAAGCCUGAUGCAGCAACGCCGCGUGCGGGAUGACGGCCUUCGGGUUGUAAACCGCUUUCGCCUGUGACGAAGCGUGAGUGACGGUAAUGGGUAAAGAAGCACCGGCUAACUACGUG
rnacentral:rRNA from 1 species